GCGGUCGUGGCGGAAUGGCAGACGCGCUAGCUUGAGGGGCUAGUGGAGGAGACUCCGUGGAGGUUCGAGUCCUCUCGACCGCA
rnacentral:tRNA from 1 species